AGCUUUGCACAGUGGCAGUAUAGUAGCCAAUGAGGUUUAUCCGAGGCGCAAUUAUUGCUAAUUAAAAACUUCUCCUAAUUGUGUUUUGUUCUGAAUAUUAACUUGUUUUAGAACUUGAAAGGAUAG
rnacentral:snRNA from 1 species